GACGAACGCUGGCGGCGUGCUUAACACAUGCAAGUCGAACGGAAAGGCCCUGCUUUUGUGGGGUGCUCGAGUGGCGAACGGGUGAGUAACACGUGAGUAACCUGCCCUUGACUUUGGGAUAACUUCAGGAAACUGGGGCUAAUACCGGAUAGGAGCUCCUGCUGCAUGGUGGGGGUUGGAAAGUUUCGGCGGUUGGGGAUGGACUCGCGGCUUAUCAGCUUGUUGGUGGGGUAGUGGCUUACCAAGGCUUUGACGGGUAGCCGGCCUGAGAGGGUGACCGGCCACAUUGGGACUGAGAUACGGCCCAGACUCCUACGGGAGGCAGCAGUGGGGAAUAUUGCACAAUGGGCGGAAGCCUGAUGCAGCAACGCCGCGUGCGGGAUGACGGCCUUCGGGUUGUAAACCGCUUUCGCCUGUGACGAAGCGUGAGUGACGGUAAUGGGUAAAGAAGCACCGGCUAACUACGUGCCAGCAGCCGCGGUGAUACGUAGGGUGCGAGCGUUGUCCGGAUUUAUUGGGCGUAAAGGGCUCGUAGGUGGUUGAUCGCGUCGGAAGUGUAAUCUUGGGGCUUAACCCUGAGCGUGCUUUCGAUACGGGUUGACUUGAGGAAGGUAGGGGAGAAUGGAAUUCCUGGUGGAGCGGUGGAAUGCGCAGAUAUCAGGAGGAACACCAGUGGCGAAGGCGGUUCUCUGGGCCUUUCCUGACGCUGAGGAGCGAAAGCGUGGGGAGCGAACAGGCUUAGAUACCCUGGUAGUCCACGCUGUAAACGGUGGGUACUAGGUGUGGGGUCCAUUCCACGGGUUCCGUGCCGUAGCUAACGCUUUAAGUACCCCGCCUGGGGAGUACGCCGCAAGGCUAAAACUCAAAGGAAUUGACGGGGCCCCGCACAAGCGGCGGAGCAUGCGGAUUAAUUCGAUGCAACGCGUAGAACCUUACCUGGGUUUGACAUGGAUCGGGAGCGCUCAGAGAUGGGUGUGCCUCUUUUGGGGUCGGUUCACAGGUGGUGCAUGGCUGUCGUCAGCUCGUGUCGUGAGAUGUUGGGUUAAGUCCCGCAACGAGCGCAACCCUUGUUCACUGUUGCCAGCACGUUAUGGUGGGGACUCAGUGGAGACCGCCGGGGUCAACUCGGAGGAAGGUGGGGAUGACGUCAAGUCAUCAUGCCCCUUAUGUCCAGGGCUUCACGCAUGCUACAAUGGCUGGUACAGAGAGUGGCGAGCCUGUGAGGGUGAGCGAAUCUCGGAAAGCCGGUCUCAGUUCGGAUUGGGGUCUGCAACUCGACCUCAUGAAGUCGGAGUCGCUAGUAAUCGCAGAUCAGCAACGCUGCGGUGAAUACGUUCCCGGG
rnacentral:rRNA from 1 species